rnacentral:lncRNA from 1 species
GGGUGGACAGAUGCAAGGUAACAUGUUGACAAUCAUACAAAGAAAUUAAUUUACUCGCCAAUACCUCAUCAAAUACUUGAAACAAAAAUGGACAUGUUUUAAAGCAUUCGAACAUCUCAAAUUGCUUCCACAAGUCAUUGUUCAAAUAAAUGGAAUGCAAGCAAUGAGUCAAGAAAUGUAAGUCUUCAUCACAAACAGGAAAAUGAAAAGUUUCACAUGAUUCAUGAUUUCGCAUACUUGAAACUUACAAUUGUCGUUUGGCUAUAUUCUCGC